AUACAUCUCAACAAUGAUAUGGUGAGAGUAUGAAUUCACCAUUUGAAGAAAGAACUCCAUUAAAGGCUGUUCAUUGUAGAAAGAUUAUUUUAAUGGUGAUCUCAGAGCUAUUUCCAUUGAACUAUUAUUUCAAAUACAGCAUGAUGCAGUUCAGUUCUUCACCUGCAUUCUACAAAAACAUCUUAACUUUUUAAGAUCAAAAGGAAAAAAACGGAACAAUUCUGGAAGGGAUCAUUUUAGGAAUCGCAAUGGAAAUGCAAG